rnacentral:rRNA from 1 species
CUGUCUAAGACUAGCCAUGCACGUCUAGUACAAACUAAAUGAUGGUGAAACUGCAAAUGGCUCAUUACAACGGUUAUGAUGUACCCGGGAGUUCCGAUGGAUAUUUCCAGUAACACUAGAACUAAUACAUGUCCCUGCGUUUAUUAGUUUCGCACAGUCCGUCGCUGAGUCAUGGUAAACAGUUGAUCGACUCGACGUCCCGGAACAGUUUCCGCCCCAUCAGCUUCGAUGGUUGGGUAUUGGCCCACCAUUGCAACAACGGGUAACGAGGAAUUAGGGUUUGAUUUCGGAGAGGGAGCCUGAGAAACGGCUACCACAUCUACGGAUGGCAGCAGGCGCGCAAAUUACCCAAUGCAGACACUGUGAGGUAGUGACGAGAAAUAAUAAAGCGGGACUUCUGUUUCGCUAUUAUAAUGAGGAAUAACCAAAGGUCAUUCCGAUUAGCAACUGAUGGGAAAGUCUGGUGCCAGCAGCCGCGGUAAUACCAGCGUCAGUAGCAU